rnacentral:tRNA from 1 species
GACUUGUUAGCUCAGCUGGUAGAGCACAUCCCUUUUAAGGAUGGGGUCCUGGGUUCGAACCCCAGACAAGUCACAA